GCUGAGGUGGCGAAAUUGGCAGACGCAACGGCUUUAGGAGCCGUCGAGAGUAAUCUCAUGGGAGUUCAAAUCUCCCCCUCAGCA
rnacentral:tRNA from 2 species